rnacentral:rRNA from 1 species
UACAGAGGUCUCAAGCGUUGUUCGGAUUCAUUGGGCGUAAAGGGUGCGUAGGCGGCGCGGUGAAGUCGGGUGUGGAAAUCCAUCGGGCUUAACUCCGAAACUGCAUUCGAUACUGCCGUGCUUGAGGACUGGAGAGGAGACGUGGAAUUUACGGUGUAGCGGUGAAAUGCGUAGAUAUCGAUGAAGGAAGACCAGUGGCGAAGGCGGGUCUCUGGACAG